rnacentral:rRNA from 1 species
AACGAACGCUGGCGGCGUGGAUAAGACAUGCAAGUCGGACGAGACUUUUCGUUGUAGCAAUACGAUGGAAAGUUUAGUGGCGAACGGGUGCUUAACACGUGGGCAACCUGCCAGGAAGUGGGGGAUAGCUCGCCGAAAGGCGAAUUAAUACCGCAUGUGAUUAGAGAGGACAUCCUUUCGAAAUUAAAGUCGGGGCAACCUGACGCUUCUUGUGGGGCCCGCGGCCUAUCAGCUAGUUGGUGAGGUAACGGCUCACCAAGGCCUUGACGGGUAGCUGGUCUGAGAGGACGACCAGCCACACUGGGACUGAGACACGGCCCAGACACCUACGGGUGGCAGCAGUCGAGAAUUUUUGACAAUGGGGGAAACCCUGAUCGAGCGACGCCGCGUGGAGGAUGAAGGUCUUCGGAUUGUAAACUCCUGUCAUUGGGGAACAAGGUGCAUACGUUAACUGCGUGUGCAUUGAUAGUACCCGAAGAGGAAGAGACGGCUAACUCUGUGCCAGCCGCCGCUGUAACAC